rfam:Fistulifera solaris DNA, contig: scaffold00130, strain: JPCC DA0580.
GAAACGGUUUUACUUAAAACCACAUCAAGUACCUUAGCUGAUGUCAU